GCGUGCGGGUGCAGCAGAGGGUGGAAUGCCCACUGCCACCACAGACGCAUACCAGCGCCCCCACCUGUUGCAGCACAAGCCGGCAACCCCUUCAGACAUCAUUCAUGGCAUCCCUGGAACUGGAGGAUGCAGCCAGCGGGUCACGCAGACAACAACAGCGUCGUCCUGAAACAGGCCUCAGGACGCAGACAUGUGAGUGCUGUGCACGGGGACUGUCAUGCACAGCUGGGGCAUCGGGCAUCACAUCCAAGGAAAACAUCCAGGGGAAUAGAGAGCAGGAGUGAUGAAGCGAAAAGGUGCGAAGAGAUGCAUACGGGACAGCGCCGAUGUGCAUGUGUACGAGACACGCGGCAUCUCUCCUCGAUCCGACCGGGGUGGGCUUUCACGGGGCAGAGAUGCCGGAAGCGGGAUGAGAGCACUCCCGACGUGCACCGCCGAGUCCUCCAGAGCCUCCCAUGUGAAGCGUCACCGCACCACGUGAUGGCAUGCCGCGGGUGGAGGCGACUGAGACGGAGAAGCAUGGCACACAGGCAGGAUGUGCAGGGUCUCGGAGGGGCCUGGCCGGGGGCUGGUGGCCUUCCUCCCUGCGCGCAUCCGGCAUGCACGUGGAGCACCCGCGGCGUCCGCCCUCGAGCAUGCCACCCCGGACGCGGACCGCUUUGGCGCGAGGCAUGCAGUCCACACCGCGCCUCCGUCUGGCGCCGGUUAGACGCGUCUUUCCAUUUCAACUGCCGGACGACUCGCCCGCGGCGAGGAGGAGGCAGCUGUGGCGCAACAGGGGUAGGUGCGCUGUGGUUGCGUACGCGUCUGCGCUUGCGGACCUCUUCACUUCGUCGAACGGGCAUGCCGAGAAGUUGACAACGGCUUUGCUGUGGGCCUGCUGCGUUCUCUUCCGUGCGCGGCGAAUCGCGUUCAUGGGCGUUCGAGCAAAGAGAGAGCGGUGGAACGCUCCGCAAGGGGUGAUGAGGGUGGGCACAUGGUGAGCUACCGUCUCGCUCUACGUUCUCUUAACCUUUUCCGUCUCUUCGGGUUUUCCCUGCGACGCCCUGCUGUCCAGCAGAUGUUGAAAACGACGGCAAGAAACGGUUCCGGUGUACCCGCGCUUGAAUUCAAGGAGGAAGGCCAAACGGUCAAGCUGUUGUUGCGCGGACAUGAACUGGGUAGAAGAAGAGAGCUAAGAGCGCUGGGUGGGGACGUUGGUGGUGAGCACGAAACUCGUGAUAAACACGGAGAGCGAAGAGGCUCGAAAUUACGGCUCCUUCUCGUGGUUCGGUGCUUGUCAUCUUCCUCUAAUCGAAACAGCCAGGACGUUCCAGCCGGCACAGCGAGAAGUUCACGCAGGCGUACAUGUACCACAUGGACUUGCUGCUGAAGGUGCUGCGCCUCCACACAUAAUACAUACAUAAUUCAAGUUUUUUCGUGGCGUGUCAGAGUGUUGUC
rnacentral:misc_RNA from 1 species